GUUGUGAGGUUAAGCGACUAAGCGUACACGGUGGAUGCCCUGGCAGUCAGAGGCGAUGAAGGACGUGCUAAUCUGCGAUAAGCGUCGGUAAGGUGAUAUGAACCGUUAUAACCGGCGAUUUCCGAAUGGGGAAACCCAGUGUGUUUCGACACACUAUCAUUAACUGAAUCCAUAGGUUAAUGAGGCGAACCGGGGGAACUGAAACAUCUAAGUACCCCGAGGAAAAGAAAUCAACCGAGAUUCCCCCAGUAGCGGCGAGCGAACGGGGAGGAGCCCAGAGCCUGAAUCAGUGUGUGUGUUAGUGGAAGCGUCUGGAAAGGCGCGCGAUACAGGGUGACAGCCCCGUACACAAAAAUGCACAUGCUGUGAGCUCGAUGAGUAGGGCGGGACACGUGGUAUCCUGUCUGAAUAUGGGGGGACCAUCCUCCAAGGCUAAAUACUCCUGACUGACCGAUAGUGAACCAGUACCGUGAGGGAAAGGCGAAAAGAACCCCGGCGAGGGGAGUGAAAAAGAACCUGAAACCGUGUACGUACAAGCAGUGGGAGCACGCUUAGGCGUGUGACUGCGUACCUUUUGUAUAAUGGGUCAGCGACUUAUAUUCUGUAGCAAGGUUAACCGAAUAGGGGAGCCGAAGGGAAACCGAGUCUUAACUGGGCGUUAAGUUGCAGGGUAUAGACCCGAAACCCGGUGAUCUAGCCAUGGGCAGGUUGAAGGUUGGGUAACACUAACUGGAGGACCGAACCGACUAAUGUUGAAAAAUUAGCGGAUGACUUGUGGCUGGGGGUGAAAGGCCAAUCAAACCGGGAGAUAGCUGGUUCUCCCCGAAAGCUAUUUAGGUAGCGCCUCGUGAAUUCAUCUCCGGGGGUAGAGCACUGUUUCGGCAAGGGGGUCAUCCCGACUUACCAACCCGAUGCAAACUGCGAAUACCGGAGAAUGUUAUCACGGGAGACACACGGCGGGUGCUAACGUCCGUCGUGAAGAGGGAAACAACCCAGACCGCCAGCUAAGGUCCCAAAGUCAUGGUUAAGUGGGAAACGAUGUGGGAAGGCCCAGACAGCCAGGAUGUUGGCUUAGAAGCAGCCAUCAUUUAAAGAAAGCGUAAUAGCUCACUGGUCGAGUCGGCCUGCGCGGAAGAUGUAACGGGGCUAAACCAUGCACCGAAGCUGCGGCAGCGACGCUUAUGCGUUGUUGGGUAGGGGAGCGUUCUGUAAGCCUGCGAAGGUGUGCUGUGAGGCAUGCUGGAGGUAUCAGAAGUGCGAAUGCUGACAUAAGUAACGAUAAAGCGGGUGAAAAGCCCGCUCGCCGGAAGACCAAGGGUUCCUGUCCAACGUUAAUCGGGGCAGGGUGAGUCGACCCCUAAGGCGAGGCCGAAAGGCGUAGUCGAUGGGAAACAGGUUAAUAUUCCUGUACUUGGUGUUACUGCGAAGGGGGGACGGAGAAGGCUAUGUUGGCCGGGCGACGGUUGUCCCGGUUUAAGCGUGUAGGCUGGUUUUCCAGGCAAAUCCGGAAAAUCAAGGCUGAGGCGUGAUGACGAGGCACUACGGUGCUGAAGCAACAAAUGCCCUGCUUCCAGGAAAAGCCUCUAAGCAUCAGGUAACAUCAAAUCGUACCCCAAACCGACACAGGUGGUCAGGUAGAGAAUACCAAGGCGCUUGAGAGAACUCGGGUGAAGGAACUAGGCAAAAUGGUGCCGUAACUUCGGGAGAAGGCACGCUGAUAUGUAGGUGAAGCGACUUGCUCGUGGAGCUGAAAUCAGUCGAAGAUACCAGCUGGCUGCAACUGUUUAUUAAAAACACAGCACUGUGCAAACACGAAAGUGGACGUAUACGGUGUGACGCCUGCCCGGUGCCGGAAGGUUAAUUGAUGGGGUUAGCGCAAGCGAAGCUCUUGAUCGAAGCCCCGGUAAACGGCGGCCGUAACUAUAACGGUCCUAAGGUAGCGAAAUUCCUUGUCGGGUAAGUUCCGACCUGCACGAAUGGCGUAAUGAUGGCCAGGCUGUCUCCACCCGAGACUCAGUGAAAUUGAACUCGCUGUGAAGAUGCAGUGUACCCGCGGCAAGACGGAAAGACCCCGUGAACCUUUACUAUAGCUUGACACUGAACAUUGAGCCUUGAUGUGUAGGAUAGGUGGGAGGCUUUGAAGUGUGGACGCCAGUCUGCAUGGAGCCGACCUUGAAAUACCACCCUUUAAUGUUUGAUGUUCUAACGUUGACCCGUAAUCCGGGUUGCGGACAGUGUCUGGUGGGUAGUUUGACUGGGGCGGUCUCCUCCUAAAGAGUAACGGAGGAGCACGAAGGUUGGCUAAUCCUGGUCGGACAUCAGGAGGUUAGUGCAAUGGCAUAAGCCAGCUUGACUGCGAGCGUGACGGCGCGAGCAGGUGCGAAAGCAGGUCAUAGUGAUCCGGUGGUUCUGAAUGGAAGGGCCAUCGCUCAACGGAUAAAAGGUACUCCGGGGAUAACAGGCUGAUACCGCCCAAGAGUUCAUAUCGACGGCGGUGUUUGGCACCUCGAUGUCGGCUCAUCACAUCCUGGGGCUGAAGUAGGUCCCAAGGGUAUGGCUGUUCGCCAUUUAAAGUGGUACGCGAGCUGGGUUUAGAACGUCGUGAGACAGUUCGGUCCCUAUCUGCCGUGGGCGCUGGAGAACUGAGGGGGGCUGCUCCUAGUACGAGAGGACCGGAGUGGACGCAUCACUGGUGUUCGGGUUGUCAUGCCAAUGGCACUGCCCGGUAGCUAAAUGCGGAAGAGAUAAGUGCUGAAAGCAUCUAAGCACGAAACUUGCCCCGAGAUGAGUUCUCCCUGACUCCUUGAGAGUCCUGAAGGAACGUUGAAGACGACGACGUUGAUAGGCCGGGUGUGUAAGCGCAGCGAUGCGUUGAGCUAACCGGUACUAAUGAACCGUGAGGCUUAACCUUACAACGCCGAAGCUGUU
rnacentral:rRNA from 1 species